CCAUAUAAACUUUAUUAGGGAUUGUAUUGAUUUGCCAAAUGCCAUAUAUAUUCAAAUAUAUAAACCAGUGAUUGGAGUGAAUUGCUCAGGUUUCAUUGUGUGGCGUCGGGUGACAUCAUUUUUCACGUAAUUAUCCUUCAGUACAGUUCUUUAUAAAUAACGGAAGAUUUUUUCUUCAAAAUGAUUUCCAAAUUUGGUUUUAAAACAGUUUAAAACGCGUUAAAUAUAUAAUGUAAAUCUAUAAACGUUUUCCCUCGUGUUUUGGCAGCUUGAAUCUAUUCUGUGCUUGAAUGCUUGAUGUCAAUGCUUCCACUCGCUCAAAAC